UUUAUGCUAAUUGCUCGUCACUGAAGCACUCUAAAACAUCCUUCUUCUGUUUUUUUUAUUAUUUUUUUUUAUUUGUGAUGGGAAUAUUUCAUCAGCGAAUAAAAGCUGAGUUGGUGACAGAACAGUCGAUUAAUCUCUGUGUGGUUUUCACCACAGUUACAGUACAAACGUGUCGAAUCAAAACGCGCUCUCGGCUUUAGUCUUGUACUGUGGGCAGCGUGCUGAGCAGACAUUUGCAUACAGUUGAUGUGCAGAUUUCCUCACCCACACAUCCAAAACUUUAGGAUGGGAGUCAACAUCUCUUACAGAAUACAUUUAACAGCUUAACGUAGUGAAGCAGGAGCUGUCGACGCUGAACAGGCAGCGGCUCCUUCACUGUUUUACGCUCCACAGUCCACUUACAGUGUGUGUUUUAGUCCAGAGCUCAUCAAUUAACUUGAACUGCAGCUCAUUUUUCAUAUACGUUUAAUGUUAAUGUCUGUCCUUGACGAAGGUUACAGAGGAAAGUGUGUGUGUGUGUGUGUGUGUCCUGAUACAUUUAUUAAAGGGCUGUUUCUUAAUUAAGUCUUUAUAUUAUGUAUAAGGUCCCAGCGAAGUUUGAGGGAAACGAUAUUUAUUUUUACAAUAACUAGCACAAUAACAUGCUUUUUCUCAUUCUUUGUUGGUUUGUUGCAUUUACAGCAAUUUGAAACUCAUUACUUUCAAAUGGUCCGCUGUGAUAGUAUUUACUGUAGCGACACCUUUAGGAUGAACUGGAAAUGUGCAAAAUGUUCAUACAUUCAUAAUUAAAUGCACCACAGAUGGAGCUCCUGAUAGAGGCCUGUGCAGUCGACCACUGCAGGACACAUUAUGGCAAUUUCCAGCUCGAGGAGCCAGCGAGCGUCAGAGCUGGCAGCGCCGCCGGAUGAGCCCGAGCGUGACUCCCGACGCCUGCACCGCUGGGACGCCGCCCAACCCGAGGAGGUGUGCAGAGGACAGCGCCGUUCAUCCAACACAGCUCUCCAGCUGCUUGAGUCGAUUCAACGCAGCAGGCGGCGAACGCACCCUGACUUCCUGUUCCUCCAACCGAGAGCGAGAUCGUUCGCACAUCAACGAGCAUCACAGCUGGAGCCGCAAGUGUGUGUUGGUGUGUGCGUGGAUGUUUUCACCAUCAUCUGAAGACCCAGCUUGAGUUUUUUUUUUUUUUUUUAAGAAGCUCGGCAGGUAAACGUUCAGCAGAAAAGAAGCUUCCAGAGCCUGAUUAGACAUUCAUCACACGUCUUCUGUUCACGGCGACGCCGCCAGCGAACGCUUUCACGAGUCUCUCAGUCAGUUUGCACUGCAGAAGACGGUCUGUGUCACAUCGCAACUGUUCUGUCAAAAAAUCAUUUUUUUUCCUGCGAGGAUCUUCAUCGUCGGAGGAGGAAGAAGAAGAAGAAGAAAAAAAAAAAGACCAGAAGUGACGAGGUGACGGCACCACACAUUUUUAGAGUUGCCCUCAAACUGUUUCGUGUCACCUUGUCAGCAUUAACGCCUCGACGUCUCUCGCUGCAGCGCUGACGUGUUAAUUAUGGGCUAACCCAAACAAAUGAGGCGACAUCAUCAACACACUCCAAGUCUAAGCUGUCAGGCGAAGAGAAUCAGUAACAAGCCUCCCUCAAGGGGUAUUUUUUGAUAAACUGCAUCUUCGGUGGCUUUUAACACUUUCUGACAGCUAGAUUUUAUUUAGAGUCUUAAUUAAAGAGCAAAUACUUACGCGUACGCUUGUGUUUUACUGCAGAACAGAGUGGAGUGUGAACAAAUUUGAUGUCAGAUGACAAAAGUCAAGACGAGAACAUGAAGCUUGAAAUACAAAGGUAACUUUUGCAUCCAAACCAAGUUUUAAAAAAACUAAGUUAUUCCUUUUGAGGCCGAGAAAACAUGUCUGCAAACAAAAUCUGUCUGCUUUGUUUUGUUUGUUCCCUGAACGAGAUCGAAGGUCGAAGGUCGAAGCGUUAUCGCUCACUGUCAGAACAAUCAGAAACAAGAUGUACAUUGUGAGGUUAACUGUGAAAAGUUAAGAAUCUGUACCGACAAACAAUCCUCAGAUACAUUGUGAGGAAUGCAGCGGACGCACGCCGGCUGUCUUUGACAGAGGACAGGCUGCGUUCAGUAAUCCACGCUGAGUAAACAGUCGGCCUGCAGUCAUUAAAGAGACGCACGCAUCGGCUCGCACAGUAAACAAUCAGCCUGCGUACCGUUGGAUCCGACAUGAAGACGAUGUGCGCAGUGCUUAUCUGAGCCAACACGACUGAGGAUUAACAGCGGCCGACGUUCACAGGGAGAAGCUCCAUCUGAGGACGUCGAAUUGUGACGAUUGGAUUCAUCGCCGGUGCCACGAAUCGAUUGGAAAAAUGAGUCUUAACGCCUCCGACCGCAGCUCUACUUUCACAGUCAUUAACAUAUCUGCCAGGUAUUUGCGUUCACGGGUCACAGAGGAAGCGAGCGCUGCUUUGACACUCGCUCCAGGCCGCUCUGUUCGGCAUCAACAACAACAGCAACAGGUCGUUUUCCCUCCAGCUGCUCGUGGAAACAUGUGAAGUGAUUUAUUUUUUCCUUCUCCACUCGGAAAAAAUCCAAAGUGAGUCAGUUUGAACGGACGGAAGAUAUCCGAUAAGACGGGAGAGAGGAAACACCGCUUCUGUUCAGUUGUAGGGACUGGAGAUGUGACUGUACGCUGUAUUUACAGUAAGAUUUGAGAUAAACAAGCAAACGAACAAAAAGUAAAUUAACGGAUGGAUUGAUGUUAUAAUUAUCUAUCGACGCGUCUUAACAGCGAGCGGACUGCAAACCUUCUUCCCUUGUCUCAGCUUCACUGUCUUCUCUCUCAAAGCUCUGUGUUUUCCUAAUAAUUCCAUCUUUAAAGUAAUGAAACAAAAUACAUUUAUUUAUAUUAUAAUCCUAAAUCCUUUGAGUACAAUUAAGCACGUUUAAUCCCUCUUAUUCAAAGCGCAAACUGAAAACAAACAGGGCAAACUUUGUGGAAGCGGCCGUAUGGAUGGCAGAAAUCAUUGAGAGGCAGCUGUUAAAGGACAAAGAGAGGGAAAAAAAACAAAAAACAGAGACAUUAAAAAGGAACUUGAAUUAUAAAGACGCUGUAAACGAAGAAGUCUGUGUGUGCUGUAAACCCGCAGAGCCUAGAAGAAGCGAGGCCGCCGGCUGCCGGGCCACCUGCUACUACAGCUCCGAGUUUGAGAGAUGGCCGCGAUGUCUUCCAUCGGCUGUUUUCACACCCUCCCUCCUCCUCCUCCUCUUCCUCCUCCUCCACCCUGCUCAUCUCUUUUAGCGAGACAGACAGCAGCGAGGCUGAGGACGCGUUUGACGCUCCGCCAAGGAGAGGAAUAUUUCACCCCUGCCGGUGUCAGCGUGGACACCUCCGGCUGGCGAGAAAACACAAACGGGUCGAUACGCUGAUUGGCACGUAGCUGCAGAGUCACGGGUUCGGUCCGGUCCUCCUCUGACGGACGGAGACAAAUCCAUCAGGACGGACCGCACGCUGACACUAUACGUGCCGGCUGGCGGCCGCGCGCUCAUUUACAUCUUCUACAGUGGGGAAACUCACCGGCGGCACACUGACGGCUGCUCAGCAGGAGGUCGAGUGUCUGAAUGUUAAUCAAUGAGUUAAGAUCCAACAGUCUCUCGAACAAAUCAGCUGCAGCGUGCAUCACAGAGAGGAACGUUUAAUUCUAAAUAUCAUCGUCAAUACUGGAAUAUGGUGACAGCACAACUGAUCGGACGGAUUGGUGUCGACCUCACUGAACCGUUGAACUAGUAACCACAAUGUCACCAGACUCCCUUUACAAAUCAUUCAAUUUUGUGAAUUGUUGAGUAAAGAGAGACUUUAUAAACUUUGUCAAACUCCAUCUCUGACAAAUUAUUAAUCACACAUGCCUUCUUGUGAAUUCGGCAUUAAUUACAAAACAAAGUUGUUUGUUUCUUUGUAAAAAGGAAAAAAGCAUGUCUGCUUCAGCAGCUGUUUCAACACACUGUUUCAACAUUUACACUCAAUUUAUUAAAGAAGACAUUUUAUUGAUGGUUAACCUGUCAAAUUUUCGAAAUACAGUAAACAGUAACUAAUAUAGGCUACUUUUUUUGAGAAUUCGCCAGACUCCCUUGAAAAACUGCACAAUUCUGUGACUUGUUGCGUUGCGACACUUUAUAAACUUUGUGAACACAUUCUUUAACAGAUUCUUAACUAAUUGGACUUUCUUGUGAAUUCGGCAUUAAUUAUAAAACAUGAAGUUCUUUGUUUCCUUGUAAAAAGUGUGAGUUUGCGGCAGCAUGUCUGAACCAGCCUGUCAGCGUCUACGUCUAAAUUGAGUCUUACCUGCCAACAUUUAGCAGCUGUUUGAACACACUGUCUCAACAUUUACUCUCAAUUUAUGAAAGACGACAUUUUGUUUAUGGUUAACGUGUCAAAUUUUACAAAUACAGUAAACAGUAACUAAUAUAGACUACUUUUUUUUGAGAGGUCACCAGACUCCCUUAAAAAAUUGCACAAUUCUGUGAGUUGCUGAGUUAGGAGACACUUUAUAAGCUCUGUGAAACACAAUCUUUAACAAAUUCUUAACUAUUUGGACCUUCGUGUGAAUUCGGCACACGUUCUACAUUAAGUUCUUUCUUUGUGCUUCUUGUGAAGCGACGGACCUCGAGUUAGAGACACUCGCGACUCAGGACAGAUGUUAACACCAGGGCUGACCAGCGUCUAACUCAAAGCAAACGCAGAGAAAAGAAAGUUUUCCCACAAAAGGUCGAGAGAGUUGUAGGUGUGAGCGCAUAAUUAUUCUCACCAUAUGCUCUCAGUUUCUGCACAAACAAACACACCGGCACAUCCUUAAAGCCUCUGCUCGCGCUCCGGAGGAAAUCCCAGUGAAAGCACCGGGGUGGUGGUUGUUUUAAACAAGAAGCCGAUCCUCGCUCAUGGAGGGACUGUAAAUAAGCUCUGAGCUCGCUUCUCUCUGGAGGAACGCCGGCUUGCUGAUUCCCACUACGAGGACGGCCUUUCGAUAGUUUCCCUUCCAAUCAUCCUCCAGAAAACGUUCCCCCCAUAUGUUGCCAGAUAAAAACGUCUUUGAUAUUCCUACAUGUCUUAUCCCCCCUGACUGGCUGGCUGGCUGGCUGACUGGCUGGCUGACUGGCUGGCUGACUGGCUGGCUGGCGAGCUCGCGGUCUUUAAAAAGGGAGCGUUGCGUUGGUGCGUCUGACAGCUGAGCGGGACCCUGUGAUGCCGGUAACGACAUGAGGGAUGACAACAGAAGCUCCGACAUCAAAAGCCCUGCAGCACCGACACACACACACACACACACAUUUGCAGCAGAUUACGGAGGCCAGUUAUUCAUCAGCGCUUACACGAGCCGGGUUACGAGUCAGAACACAUAUACGCACGCACAAGAGCAGCUCUGAAACGACUCCCGCAGCUCAUUUGUACAUGAAGAAGAAGAAGAAAAAAGAAAACAGCGCGCCUCUCAGCGUCCUAUCGACACUCACUUAAGAUAAUGAGGCCUGUUGGGGAGGAUAUAGAUUGGAGGACGAAUCUCGGAGCUUCUGAAUGGGCAGGCGAGGCAGAUAAAGGGGCUUUAGAAAGAGAAUCUCCAGGACGCGAGGUGGCAAUUUGUCAGGAUUAAAGCUGGAUGGUGUCUGUCAUUGUGUGUGUGUGUGUGUGUGUGUGUGUGUGUUGUUGCAGCGUCAGGUGUUGUUCAUUACCCCUGAGCUCGCCCAGGGAAUCGGGGCGCUGAUCUGCGAGGUCGUCUGAGGCUUUUCAUCCUGAGCAUCCUCAGCACAACCUCACGGAAAAAGCACCGUUUUCUUCAUCAGCUGAUUACAUUAUUGGUUAACUGAUUAAUCAUGUGGUUUAUGAUAAUGAGAGCAAAUAGUCUUAAGCUAUAAAUAUUAACUUUGUGAUGACAUUAAAUGUAUAAAAUGCAGCACAUCCUCACAUUUAACUGUGAUUUUUUGGGAUAUUUUUGCUAAUAAAUGACUUCGUGAAUAAUCCAAACAACCAAUUAAUUAAGUCUAUGUAGUUAAGAACAUUUUCUAAACAGUAAACUAACAAAAUAUCAGAAAUACAGUAAACUGUAGCAGAUAUAAAGCUUCUCAUG